GACGAACGCUGGCGGCGUGCUUAACACAUGCAAGUCGAACGAUGAACUUGGAGCUUGCUCUGGGGGAUUAGUGGCGAACGGGUGAGUAACACGUGGGUGAUCUGCCCUGCACUCUGGGAUAAGCUUGGGAAACUGGGUCUAAUACUGGAUAUGACCUCAUGCUGCAUGGUGUGGGGUGGAAAGAUUUAUUGGUGCAGGAUGGGCCCGCGGCCUAUCAGCUUGUUGUUGGUGUAAUGGCCUCCCAAGGCGACGACGGGUAGCCGGCCUGAGAGGGCGCCCGGCCACACUGGGACUGAGACACGGCCCAGACUCCUACGGGAGGCAGCAGUGGGGAAUAUUGCACAAUGGGCGGAAGCCUGAUGCAGCGACGCCGCGUGAGGGAUGACGGCCUUCGGGUUGUAAACCUCUUUCAGUAGGGACGAAGCGUGAGUGACGGUACCUACAGAAGAAGCACCGGCCAACUACGUGCCAGCCGCCGCAGUAACAC
rnacentral:rRNA from 1 species